GGUGAGGUGGCUGAGGAAAGGCGGUGGAUUGUAAUCCCAAGUACAGAGGUUCAAGCCCUCUUCUCACCA
rnacentral:tRNA from 1 species